UAUCUGCAGUAAAAGUAAAAAACCCCAAACAAUCAGCCUUGUGGAAAACAUCAUGUAAGAAGAUCAGUAUGAACAGAAGGCUGACACAUGCCAGUCACAGUGAUCCCAAAAAGCCAUAGUUUAUUUUCUGUGUAAUAUUCUGUUCUCCAUCCUAAGACCAUCUUGCAAGUUCUCACUGCCUCAUGCCAGUACAAACCAUCUCAAACUCAGCUGCAUCACAGACUUCAGAAGGAGUUGCUAUGACCUUUUGGAAUUACUUCAAACAGCAUGAAUACUUGAGAGCAGAGAAAUUUUGAGGAAGGCAGAAAUGGAGGGGCUUGCAGAAUUAGCAGUGUUGAGUUGAAGCACAUGGUCAACAACAGUGGACUAUGCAGGAAUUCUUUGGAACAGAGAAAAUCAGUUAUCAUCCUUGAAGAAGAGUGCUGAUGUACCAACUGCAAAGAUAAAACAAUCAAGCUCAUACUCACUGCUGGCAGUUCCAUGGUGGCAGAUGACAGACAGGAGAUCGUAAGUCACGAUUUGAGCUGG